rnacentral:lncRNA from 1 species
GCGACUUCCCUGGCCCUCCCCCUGCGGACCAGUGAACCUCGCCCGAGGGCUCAAUAAAGAAGAUUUUUGCCCUCUUUUUCUCACCUCUCAGCCUUAUUGAUCCAUGGUGCCCUUCCAUUGCCUUUCAUUGGUGCCGAAACCCGGGAGGGGACACCUCCUAAGCCCCCCCAGAGGCUCAGGGGGACUCCCCUCCUGGUCGGAUCAGUCCUCUCCCUCAGUCAGGUCAGGCUUCUCCUCCACGGCCAUCUGUCCAUUUCGUCCGGUUACUUGCUGCCAGGUCGCAGUUGCUGCAGCUACUCCAGUCCAAUUCGGCCGACGCUAGAUCAACUGAGAUGCAAAACCCAUGUUCACAUCAUGAGUGAGUCUUCUAACUCGGACAAUGCAAUCAACAAAUUCUAAGACCAAAUUCCGGUGGCACUGGCUCCAAAGGAGAGUGGAAAUAGUCAGCCAAAUCAAACUUGAUCUUUCCUUUCUCAAAACUCCAAUAUUCAGCAAAUAUUUGAGUCUACAACAUACCGUGCCCUGGGAGUUAUAAAGACAUGGCCUUCUUUUUUGGAAGAUCUCUAAUCUUUGAGGUCAUUGGUAGAAGCACCCCCUACACAGGUUAACAUAAUGUCCCCCAGUCACAUGAGGGUACAUUACAUACAGCAUCAUUGGCAUAAGUGACUCUGUCUUAAAACAUGACCCCAUCUUAUACUUCAAAAGGCAUCAUGCCAGCAGGGACCAGAUGUGCACCUAAUCAAGAGAUGGCAUCCAAUCAGAUGGGGGUGUGACCCUUUACUAUCGUCCUCACCACAGGACUCAUGGUCUAUCAAAGAGCAAGACCUCACCAGCUCAACACAGCCACCUCCAUACACAUCUUACUGUCACUUGUGAUCAGCACCAAAGGAAGUGUCCACCUGAAGGACUCUCCCUUGAGGACUGUCAGGAUCCACCCAAGAGGUGCUCUUUGUCCACACCACGUUCCUUUUACUGGUUCGUUAUCCCAUUUUCUGUUGAUGUUAAAUGUCACUCUGUUUGAUGUGAAAACUCUCAUCUAUAACAUUUAUAGAUUGAUUAAGUAUACUAUCAUGCAUGGUUUGCAAUGUUGACUGGCCUGUGCAGUGGCUUGAGCCUGCAUGCCACAGUGGCUCUGACUCCUGAGUGCAUGGGAGGCCUAAAGACAACUGCCUCCUCAGGAACCCCACAGAGCCCGUGGUUUUUAUUAUUGAAAUAGCAUUGGUAAAGUCUGACCCUGUGGAGAGAGACAAACGUGUGUGGAUUUGGCUAUGCCUGGCCUUGUGCUGCUCACGACAUAACUUACCCACCAUUUUCAGCACUUUCUUUGUUCUACUUUGAGUUACAAAUAGAGACACAUAAAUAAA